rnacentral:rRNA from 1 species
UACAGAGGUGGCGAGCGUUGUUCGGAUUUAUUGGGCGUAAAGGGUCCGUAGGCGGUUUGGAAAGUCGGAUGUGAAAUCCCACAGCUUAACUGUGGAACUGCAUUCGAAACUUCCAGACUGGAGUGUGAGAGGGGUAAAGGGAAUUCCCGGUGUAAGGGUGAAAUCUGCAGAGAUCGGGAAGAACACCAGUCGCGAAGGCGCUUUACUGGCUCACAACUGACGCUCAGGGACGAAAGCUAGGGGAGCAAACGGG